rnacentral:rRNA from 1 species
UACGUAGGGGGCAAGCGUUGUCCGGAAUUAUUGGGCGUAAAGAGCGUGUAGGCGGCCAGAUAAGUCCGCUGUGAAAUCUCGAGGCUCAACUUCGAGCUGUCGGUGGAAACUAUCUGGCUAGAGUCCGGAAGAGGAGAAUGGAAUUCCUGGUGUAGCGGUGAAAUGCGCAGAUAUCAGGAAGAACACCCGUGGCGAAGGCGGUUCUCUGGGACGGUACUGACGCUGGAGACGCGAAAGCGUGGGGAGCGAACAGG